rnacentral:rRNA from 1 species
GAUGAACGCUAGCUACAGGCUUAACACAUGCAAGUCGAGGGGCAGCGCAGUGUAGCAAUACAUGGGCGGCGACCGGCGCACGGGUGCGUAACGCGUAUCCAACCUUCCCGUUACUCUUGGAUAGCCUUCCGAAAGGGAGAUUAAUACAAGAUGGUAUUCAAAUUCCGCAUGUUAUUUGAAUUAAAGAUUUAUCGGUAACGGAUGGGGAUGCGUGACAUUAGAUAGUAGGCGGGGUAACGGCCCACCUAGUCUACGAUGUCUAGGGGUUCUGAGAGGAAGGUCCCCCACACUGGAACUGAGACACGGUCCAGACUCCUACGGGAGGCAGCAGUGAGGAAUAUUGGUCAAUGGUCGAAGGACUGAACCAGCCAUGCCGCGUGAAGGUGACGGCCCUAUGGGUCUUAAAACUUCUUUGUUAAGGGAGCAAUAAGGUCUACGUGCAGGCUGAUGAGAGUA